GCCCAGGUGGUGGAAUCUUGGUAUACACGGGCGGUUGAGGGCCGUCGCGCUUACGCGCAUGCGGGUUCGAGUCCCGCCCUGGGCACAA
rnacentral:tRNA from 1 species